AGAGUUUGUUUUUGGCUCACGAUGAACGCUGGCGGCGUGCUUAACACAUGCAAGUCGAACGAAGCAAUCUAACGGAAGUUUUCUGAUGGAAGCUGGAUUGACUGAGUGGCGGACGGGUGAGUAACGCGUGGGUAACCUGCCUCACACUGGGGGACAACAGUUAGAAAUGACUGCUAAUACCGCAUAAGCGCACAGGACCGCAUGGUCCGGUGUGAAAAACUCCGGUGGUGUGAGAUGGACCCGCGUUUGAUUAGCUAGUUGGUGGGGUAACGGCCUACCAAGGCGACGAUCAAUAGCCGACCUGAGAGGGUGACCGGCCACAUUGGGACUGAGACACGGCCCAAACUCCUACGGGAGGCAGCAGUGGGGAAUAUUGCACAAUGGGGAAACCCUGAUGCAGCGACGCCGCGUGAGUGAAGAAGUAUUUCGGUAUGUAAAGCUCUAUCAGCAGGGAAGAAAAUGACGGUACCUGACUAAGAAGCCCCGGCUAACUACGUGCCAGCAGCCGCGGUAAUACGUAGGGGGCAAGCGUUAUCCGGAUUUACUGGGUGUAAAGGGAGCGUAGACGGUAAAGCAAGUCUGAAGUGAAAGCCCGGGGCUCAACCCCGGGACUGCUUUGGAAACUGUUUAACUAGAGUGCUGGAGAGGUAAGCGGAAUUCCUAGUGUAGCGGUGAAAUGCGUAGAUAUUAGGAGGAACACCAGUGGCGAAGGCGGCUUACUGGACAGUAACUGACGUUGAGGCUCGAAAGCGUGGGGAGCAAACAGGAUUAGAUACCCUGGUAGUCCACGCCGUAAAC
rnacentral:rRNA from 1 species